AAUAGAUACCCUGGUAGUCCACGCCCUAAACGAUGUCAACUAGCUGUUGGGGCCUUCGGGCCUUGGUAGCGCAGCUAACGCGUGAAGUUGACCGCCUGGGGAGUACGGUCGCAAGAUUAAAACUCAAAGGAAUUGACGGGGACCCGCACAAGCGGUGGAUGAUGUGGAUUAAUUCGAUGCAACGCGAAAAACCUUACCUACCCUUGACAUGUCUGGAAUGCCGAAGAGAUUUGGCAGUGCUCGCAAGAGAACCGGAACACAGGUGCUGCAUGGCUGUCGUCAGCUCGUGUCGUGAGAUGUUGGGUUAAGUCCCGCAACGAGCGCAACCCUUGUCAUUAGUUGCUACGAAAGGGCACUCUAAUGAGACUGCCGGUGACAAACCGGAGGAAGGUGGGGAUGACGUCAAGUCCUCAUGGCCCUUAUGGGUAGGGCUUCACACGUCAUACAAUGGUCGGGACAGAGGGUCGCCAACCCGGCGAGGGGGAGCCAAUCCCAGAAACCCGAUCGUAGUCCGGAUCGCAGUCUGCAACUCGA
rnacentral:rRNA from 1 species